rnacentral:rRNA from 1 species
CAGCCGCCACGGGAACACGGAGGGUGCAAGCGUUAAUCGGAAUUACUGGGCGUAAAGCGCACGCAGGCGGUCUGUCAAGUCAGAUGUGAAAUCCCCGGGCUUAACCUGGGAACUGCAUUUGAAACUGGCAGGCUAGAGUCUUGUAGAGGGGGGUAGAAUUCCAGGUGUAGCGGUGAAAUGCGUAGAGAUCUGGAGGAAUACCGGUGGCGAAGGCGGCCCCCUGGACAAAGACUGACGCUCAGGUGCGAAAGCGUGGGGAGCAAACAGGAUUAGAUACCCCUGUAGUCCCUGUCUCUUAUAU